rnacentral:misc_RNA from 1 species
GAUGAAGAACGUAGUGAAAUGCGAUAAGUAAUGUGAAUUGCAGAAUUCAGUGAAUCAUCGAAUCUUUGAACGCACAUUGCGCCCCUUGGUAUUCCGAGGGGCAUGCCUGUUCGAGCGUCAUUAUAACCCUCAAGCUCAGCUUGGUGUUGGGGCCUGCUGCACUGGCAGCCCUUAAAAUCAGUGGCGGCGCCAUCUGGCUCUAAGCGUAGUAAUUCUUCUCGCUAUGGAGUCCUGGUGGAUGCUUGCCAUCAACCCCCAAUUUUUCUAUGGUUGACCUCGGAUCAGGUAGGGAUACCCGCUGAACUUAAGCAUAUCAAUAAGCGGAGA